CCUACGGGAGGCAGCAGUGGGGAAUCUUGCGCAAUGGGCGAAAGCCUGACGCAGCAACGCCGCGUGCGGGAAGAAGGCUUUCGGGCUGUAAACCGCUUUCAGCAGGAACGAAAAUGACGGUACCUGCAGAAGAAGGAGCGGCCAACUAUGUGCCAGCAGCCGCGGUGAUACAUAGGCUUCAAGCGUUGUCCGGAUUUAUUGGGCGUAAAGAGUUCGUAGGCGGUCGAGUAAGUCGGGUGUGAAAAUUCUGGGCUCAACCCAGAGACGCCACCCGAUACUGCUUGACUUGAGUUCGAUAGGGGAGUGGGGAAUUCCUAGUGUAGCGGUGAAAUGCGCAGAUAUUAGGAGGAACACCGGUGGCGAAGGCGCCACUCUGGAUCGAUACUGACGCUGAGGAACGAAAGCAUGGGUAGCAAACAGGAUUAGAUACCCUGGUAGUCCAUGCCGUAAACGGUGGGCACUAGGUGUGGGUUUCUAUUAACGAAAUCCGCGCCGUCGCUAACGCAUUAAGUGUCCCGCCUGGGGAGUACGGUCGCAAGACUAAAACUUAAAUGAAUUGACGG
rnacentral:rRNA from 1 species